ACCCUCACGGGGCGGUGCACCUUGCGUGCAGGGGACUCGCGAACUGGAUGCACGUCUUUCUGGGUCCAGACGCGGCUUUGCAGCUCUGCCUGGAAGGACCCGGCCCGUCGGGUGGACCGUGAAGCUAGGCCCUGACUCAGAGCAGCACACACUGCCGACCAGGGUGCCUCUGAUCACCGGCCUCCGAGCUGCAUGCCCUGGUGACUGGGCCGAAUGGGAAGGGCGCGGCUUCCCUUCCUCCCCUCCUCCACCUCCUGGCCGCAUCCUGGCCGGGGCUCAGCUGCCCGCUGGCUUGGCGAUGUCCCUGACCCAGGGCAGCCAUGAGCCUCGUGGCCUGUGAGUGCCCUCCUGGCCCUGGCCCAGAGCCUGAGCCCUGCUCUCGAGCACGGUCCCAGGCUCGAGUGUACCUGGAGCAGAUUCGCAACCGGGUGGCUCCGGGGGCAGCUGACAUGACUAAGCACGACUACCUGGUGGACGCAGCCACUCAGAUCCGGCUGGCCCUGGAGCGUGACGUCAGUGAGGACUAUGAGGCCGCCUUCAACCACUACCAGAAUGGCGUGGACGUUCUCCUCCGAGGCAUGCAUGUCGACCCCAACAAGGAGAGGUGUGAGGCUGUCAAGCUGAAGAUAACCAAAUACCUGCGGCGGGCGGAGGAGAUCUUUAAUUGCCACCUGCAGAGGACGCUGGGCAGCGGAGCCAGCCCUGAUGAGGGUUUCAGCAGCCUGAGGCUCCGGCCCAUCCGCACGCUGAGCUCUGCCCUGGAGCAGCUGAGGGGCUGCAAGGUGGUCGGGGUCAUCGAGAAGGUGCAGCUGGUCCAGGACCUAGCGACUGGAGGGACCUUCGUGGUGAAGGGCCUGUCCAGGUGCCACGUGGCGAACCGGGAGCGGCUGACCAUCAUCCCGCACGGUGUCCCCUACAUGACCCAGCUGCUGCGGUACUUUGUGACUGAGGACUCCAUCUUCCUGCACCUGGAGCACGUGCAAGGAGGUACACUCUGGUCCCACCUGCUCUCCCAGCCACACCCCCAGCAGUCUGGGAUGGGGUCUGGCUCCAGCCUGGAGAAGACGAAGGCUCCGCUAAACUCCCACCCCAGCCUUGGGACCCCAGCUCGGGUGCCCCCGGGACACACCCGCCUGCAGGAUGGAAUCCCUAUGAAGCCUCCGUGGACUUCUCAGAGCCUCACCCCAGCCAGGGGUGCAGCAUUCGUUAAACCCCAGAGAGAGGCUGGAGGUGAAGCACCAGCCAGGACGAGCACCGCCUGCUUCUGGGACCUUCCAAAGGCCCCCGGUGGCCGCCUGCACUGCCAGGCCAGGCGAGGACCUGGCCGGAGCUCAGAGCCCACAGCCCCUUGGGGGCUCCCUUGGGUGCGGGCAGGGGCCGGCCGGGUGCUGGGGGGCUGCGGCCGAGGCAGAGGUCCGAGCCACCCCUCGGCCUCUCGAGGGGCCAGCCCGGUGCCCGGCUGGGGCGCCUGGAGUCUGAAGGAGGAGCAGGUGAGGCAGUGGGCGGCCGAGACGCUGCUGGCCCUGGAGGCGCUGCACCAGCAAGGGGUGCUGUGCCGGGACCUCAAUCCCCGGAAUCUGCUCCUGGACCAGGCCGGCAGGCAGGAGGCCCCCAAAGCCUCGAGAUUUCCCCAGAGCCAAGAGGAGGCGGACGUUAUCUGCCUGUUCCCCUGGGGCACCCCCGCCCCCUACAUUUUCGGGAAGGCCUUGGCCAAGCCGGCCUGGCUGGCCGUGGUUGAGCUUGGAAAGAAGACCCUUUUCCCCACCCUGAGCUCCGGGGCAGCCGCUCCUGUGAAGACCAGGUUGUCUCGGGGACCUCGGGGUGGAGGGGCCGUGCCCCUAGGGAACCUCUGCCCAGCACAGCCCACUGGCUCCUGGGGUCCCCUGCCCCACGCCAAAGGCUCCAAGAUGACUAACUGCAGCUCUCGCCCCCUCUGGCUGCUCCCUGCACACACACGGGAUGACAAGGCCACAUCCGGCUCACGUAUUUUGGCCAGUGGUCAGAGGUGGAGCCCCAGUGCUGCAGGGAGGCUUCGCACAACCUCUACAGCGCCCCAGAGGUUGGUGGGAUUUCGGAGCUGACCGAAGCCUGCGACUGGUGGAGCUUUGGGUCUCUCCUGUAUGAACUGCUGACCGGGACGCUGCUGCAGUUUGAUCCGGCCCAGCGCCUGGGCGCUGGAGGAGACGGUGUCCACAAGCUCAAGGCCCACCCCUUUUUCAGUUCCAUCCAGUGGAGCAAACUGGUGGGGUAGGAGGGUGUGGCGUCGGCAAUCGGAGCAGCUGGAUUGGUCUGGAUCUCCUCUUGUCUCUUUGCCUGCCACAUCCCAUCAGUGGCCCACGGGCAAAGAAUGCAAGGCAGCUUUGCCUUUCCUGGUCAGGACCCCACCCUUGGGCCUCAGAAGUCUCAUCGCCACUGACCAGGAAGGGCCUUGUGGACUCCCCCAGCCACCUCUUGGAGAAAUGCUUUCUAGUUGGUGCUGAGGGGCAGAGAUCUCAGCCUGUUAGGCAGCUUGAACGUCUCCACCUGUCCAUCCUCCGCCCAUCAGUCAACAGUCACCUGCUGUGUCUACACCCUGUACCUUGAACUCGGACCUGCCCUGUUAAAAGGUGCCUUCCUUGGCAUUAGCUCUGAGCUACUGACCACCUGCUGAGCCGAGAAAUCUUGACUUGUGAUCUGCCAUGCGCCCCACUCAGGAUGUCUCUGGAGACUCAUCUCAGUAUACUAGUCCCCUGGCUUCCUGGCUCCAAACCAGGGCUGUCCUAGUUGGUCAUCUCAGCCACGCAACCAGUGUGCCCCUUCUAUCAAAGGCUACUUCCCCAGGGGAUGGGGGAGGUGGGGAAGCAGGGAAGAAGUCUGUAGCAGACAUGGGGUGGAGCGGGAGGGACAGGACAACCCACCCCCUCCUGACCAUGCCGCUUAUCUUGUGAUUACAGACCUUUGAGAGCAAAAGGAAAGGAGGGGAGGAAAAUAAGGAUAAGGAGGAAGGGGAAGAAAGAGGGGAAGGCACAGCUCUGCCACUUACAGAAGUUUUGAAAACAGAAUAAACAGCUCCCUUCCCCAGCUAGCCCACUCACGUGGAGAGAAAGCAAACCCUGGCCCGUGGGUCUGAGCCGGGGGAACCAGGAUUCUGUUUCCAGCCUGAAGCCACUUGAAGGAAAGUUGUCUCCACUAGGAUUCCCUUCUUGGACACUUGUCCUGUUUACCAUUUUGCAUUUCAGUGGUGAGGGUCCACUCAAUUCACUACCCACUGUGACUUCAUUUCCUUUUGAAAUGAAACCAAGCAACACCCAAAAUGAUUGUCCAAGCUUUUAGCCAGAAGCAAGAAGUUUCUGGUCUCUGAAGAGCUAGGAUAAGUAGUUACCCCUAAAGAUAAUUCCCUCCCCAGAUUUGGGGGCCCCCUUCUUCCUCUCAGGACCCGCCCUGUCACUGGGGUGUGGCAUCCAAGACAGAAACUUCCAUAGACCUCUGCCCACAACUCCUUCUCGCCUGAGUCUCCAUCACCACCAGGCGGCAUCUCUGACACCACCCUCCAGUCCUGGCUGUGAAGGGCUGGGGACCUGUGUUGUGGGGAGGUCCUUGGGAUGAGUCUGAGGCAAAGGACACAGGGAGGUGCUGGCUCUCCCUGGCGCUUGCCCACCUCCACCCCCACUCCAAUAAAGCCUGCUCUUGCCUCUGG